UCCGGAGUAGCUCAAUGGUAGAGCGGGUGGCUGUUAACCACUAGGCUGGGGGUUCGAGUCCCUCCUCCGGAGC
rnacentral:tRNA from 1 species